AUUGAACGCUGGCGGAAUGCUUUACACAUGCAAGUCGAACGGUAGAGGGGGCAACCCCUUGAGAGUGGCGAACGGGUGAGUAAUAUAUCGGAACGUGCCCGAUCGUGGGGGAUAACGAGGCGAAAGCUUUGCUAAUACCGCAUACGAUCUACGGAUGAAAGCGGGGGAUCUUUGGACCUCGCGCGGACGGAGCGGCCGAUGGCAGAUUAGGUAGUUGGUGGGAUAAAAGCUUACCAAGCCGACGAUCUGUAGCUGGUCUGAGAGGACGACCAGCCACACUGGAACUGAGACACGGUCCAGACUCCUACGGGAGGCAGCAGUGGGGAAUUUUGGACAAUGGGCGCAAGCCUGAUCCAGCCAUUCCGCGUGAGUGAAGAAGGCCUCGGUUGUAAAGGUAC
rnacentral:rRNA from 1 species